rnacentral:rRNA from 1 species
UUCUGGCUCAGGAUGAACGCUGGCGGCGUGCUUAACACAUGCAAGUCGAACGGAGUUUUUAACGGAAGUUUCGGAUGGAAGUUUAAGAACUUAGUGGCGGACGGGUGAGUAACGCGUGGGUAACCUGCCUCAUACAGGGGGAUAACAGUUAGAAAUGACUGCUAACACCGCAUAAUAUAGUGAAACCGCAUGAUUUUGCUAUCAAAUAUUUAUAGGUAUGAGAUGGGCCCGCGUCUGAUUAGCUAGUUGGUGGGGUAAAAGCCUACCAAGGCGACGAUCAGUAGCCGGCUUGAGAGAGUGACCGGCCACAUUGGGACUGAGACACGGCCCAAACUCCUACGGGAGGCAGCAGUGGGGAAUAUUGGACAAUGGGGGAAACCCUGAUCCAGCGAACCGCCGCGUGAGUGAAGAAGUAUUUCGGUAUGUAAAGCUCUAUCAGCAGGGAAGAUAAUGACAGUACCUGACUAAGAAGCCCCGGCUAACUACGUGCCAGCAGCCGC